GUGGGACUUAUUGAACUAGACACUCAAAUGAUGAUUGGAUCAAAGUGAUGGCAAAAACUCACUCAGCAGCAGAGGUGAGCCACAACCAAGAACAAAUGUGUUAUUGCUCAUACAAUGCAUGUAAAUACUAUGACAUGAAGCUUCCUGGUCUCCAGACAAAAGCUCUCAUGGGCCUUUGACCAGGUGAGCUAAAACCAAGAAUAUUGUUUUCA
rnacentral:lncRNA from 1 species